CUCUGUGGAUUCUGCCAGUAACUGGGUGUCUUCCUAAGACUUGAGCUUUCUAGAAAGGAAGAUGGCCUGAGCAGGCAGACAGGGUGAAUUUCUUCUGAUGUGAUGCGUUGUGACUGCCACACAGGCCAGGGUGCGGGGUGCUUCCUGACUCUCUGUCCCCUUCAGAGGUUUUGAAUAUCCUUAAGGGAAAAGUCUUAUUUGCAUUGGUGAAACACUGCUGGGGCUUAUCCAGGGCUCAAAGAUGACGAAGGACAUCUCCAUCUGUCCAGUGAUUUACGAGGCUGACUCGAACAUUUUCAAAGACUCGCCAACACAAACACCUACUUACGGGGCUGCACUCCACCGCUGUACGCUCUUUGGUGAGUCUGCCAUUGGAUUUCAGUCGAUAAAUUUGCAUUUAGCGCUUAAUUUGUUCAGUAUGCCUUACUAAUUUGGCAAUAUUUAUUUUGGCCCUGAAAGCAUAAGGCAGCUAAGUUCUUUUGUUUUGUUUGGUGUGGUUUUUUUUUUUUUUUCAUUUUCAUAAAAGGAUUUGAGAUAUGAAAAAGUUCCAGUGUCAUGGACAGAACUGGUUUCCUGUUUAUGAGUCACCAUAAAUAUGAAAGGUGCUGGGUGACAUUUCUCAGCUGAGAGAGUCCAUACAGCCCUGUGUGGAGAGCAAAUCCUCAAGCAGGGUGGUCUUGAGGUGACUUGCUGACCUUGUAUAAUGUCAAGAGGAAUUAUUGCUAAAGUACAGUAGCCAGAUACCACACACACACACACACACACACACACACACACACACACACACAUAACUUUAAUGGGUUUUCUCACCCUCAUUAUUAUAGGGAUGAGAGUUUUAUUGUAAUAUCUUUAUGUUCUCAAAAAUCAACUUUCAUCUUUCAGGGAAACGUGGCAGGAAGUUUUCAUAUCUAUAGCUUUUCUGUUUGUUUGGUCUAAAUGUCCUUUCACAAGGCUCCUCCACAGAAACAAAUCCUCCUACACAGCACCACACCCAGAAAAUUCUUCAAUUAGAUAUGGGGCUGCAGCCCUGUGGUCCCUUCUCUUUCCCGCAGAGGAAUGCAGCAACUUGCUGAACCCUUACACAAGUCUGGAGGUGUCCGUGUUAAGUAUCUCUGAGAACACAGUAGUUACCAGACGCUGAGCUCCCUAAGACUGGUGUGAUCGGGGAAGCGUGGCCCCCACGGUCUGGGUUUGACAUUGUUUGCUGGAACACAUGGAGGCAAACAGAAUGCUCCCUAGAGAAGAGGCUGUUCUCACUCAAAGACAAGUAGCUUUGAUGCCUGACAUCUUGUGAAAGUCUCAGAAGACCUGGGUUAUGGCAUCAGAUGACAUUCAUCCAUCUCAGUUCUGGCCUCCUCCAACUCCUGACCCACAAGCCCUCGGAAGUUGGUCUGAGAUGUUAUGACCGCACUUUUUGCAAAAUGAAUCAACUUGAGUCAUGAGCAGCAGUGAUAGCAAGGCUGAUAGUUCUCCUCACACAAGUAAGACACUGCCUGUGAGAUUCUGAAACCCCUUCCAGAUCGUUGAAUCCACUUCCUGAACACGGCAUGGUUUUUGGUUUCCAUACUUUUGCCAAAACUGUUCCAUCUGCUCUGAAUGCCCUCUCCAGCCUUCACAUGUAAAUUCAUACAUACCUUCCAGGGGUCAGUUUCAAUGUAACCACUUCAGUGAUGCUUUUGUCAACUUUCCCGGCAGAAAGUUCUUUCCUCUAAGCUUCCCUUGGUCUUCAUGCUUUCAUUUGUUCUUUUCCUCAUACAUGCCUUACUUCAUUUAUCCAGAUAGUGUAUAUUUUAAUGUCAUCUGUACACCAAACAUUAUGUAACUCACUUUUCCUUGAAUACUGCAAUAUUCAUCUAUGAAAUUUGUCUCCCUACCAAAACUUGUGAAGUGAGGAAAUUUGUCAUUUGUAUCUUAAAAUCCCAAAUGCCCAAGCAGGUUAAAUGUUUUCCUUGCUCAGAAAUUAUAUUUACAAUAAACAAAUUAAUGCCCUGCACUCUGUAGGUUCCACCCACACUGAUCAUUAUUUAUUUGAUAAUUGUUUACUGCUAGUUUAGAUAACUAGCCAUAGUAAACUUAAGUAGCUGUGUUUCCAAGUACUAGCCUUGAAUGCAGAAAGCACUGGAUAUUUCAUGACAUAUACCUGAGAAAAUUUAGUGUCUCAAUUUCUUUGUUUAUAGACAGAGACAAAAAUACUUAUACUGUCAAUGUGAGAAGUAAAUAAAAUAAUGUGUGAAAUGUAUUUUGCACUUAUGCCAUUGUUCUGAGUGGUAGCCAUCAGUCUUAAUGAUCAAUAUAUCUAGAAAUUUUGUCAAAAAUAGCAUUAGGAACUUUUAGAACAACACAUGGUGGAAAAUUUAGGUGCACUCCCAAGGCUGAACUGAGCAGCUUAAAUGCAACAUAUGAUGUCCACCCUGCGUAUCAACAAAGAUGACUGUAGGGUUAGCUCACGUCACCAAGAUGCUGUCACCAUCAUUUAGCUAUUCAGACACAAAGGCUCUUGCAAGUGUGAAGCUGAAAAGUGACCAAGAUAUGCCCAAGAAGUUCUAGGGUAUGCAGCAUUGCAAUCAGCUCUAAUUCACGCACAUCAAUAACAAGCAUAGUUUGUGGCCAACUCCUUGCAGUUUCUAAAGCACUGUUUUAGCAUGGCUUCAAGGACUGGGCAUCUUCUCCAAGGGCAUGGACGGGUAUCUUGGCAGUAGGAAUGAGAUUAAUGUGGGACAAUAGGCAUAAAUACUACUGUCCUAGGAAAACUGACAUAUAUGGCUGCCUCUUUUAUAAAUUAAAUAACAUAAAUUUUAUUAAAGAAAUAUUUUUAAACACAGUGAUGAAAUGAUAUAGUUUAAGCUUUAGGAUUUCACUCUGACUGCGGUGUAGAGAAUGGAUUGGAGGCUGGUAGGUUCUAGGAUGCAGGGCAAGCACUAAGGAGACUAUAGACCAGGUAAGAGGUGGUGAUAUUGUAAACUAGGAUGGCUGCAUCAGUUGAGAGAUGCUAUAGACCAAUGGGAAAAAUGGAGCUACACUGACAUUUUAAGUAUAAUUUAAUGAAAGCCUUGCCUCAUACUAGACACUUGAAAAUGUUUAUAUAUUCACCCAUUUCUUUAUUCAGCAAAUACCUGAGCUGCAUCAUGGACAAAGAACUGUCCUGAAUACUAAAACAAAUUUCUCUCCCCAAUCUUCACAUCUAAUCAUGAGCAGUAUAGUAUAACCUAGAAAAGAAGACAGAUAUAAAGAUUUAUAUACAAGAAAAGAAAGCACAACAAUCCAAAAUCUAUGGGACACAGCAAAAACAGUUUUAGGAGGGAAAUUGAUAGUGACACAAUCCUUCAUCGGGAAAUAAACAAACAAAAAAACAUCUCAAAUAAACAAUCUAAUUUUACAUCUAAAGGAACUAGAAAAAGAAUGAACAAAACCUAAAAUUAGUAGAAGGAAAGAAUUAAUAAAGAUAAGACCAGAAAUAAAUGGCCAGACAUAAGGAAUAUGGUCAGUAAUGUAAUAACUUUGUAAGGGACAGACAGUUACUAGACGUAUCAUGACGAUCAUUUCAUGUUUGCAAAUGUCAAAUCAUUAUAUGGUACACCUGAAAUUAACAUAUUGUAUAUCAACUAUGUUUCAAUUUAAAAAAUUAUAAGAUCUAUUAAUUUAGCCAAUACUAAAAAGUUUCAAAAUAACCUACUUGGCAAAUAUAUGGAGUAAUGGUCUCAUAAAAACUGUUGACGAGUAAUUUUAGUAGUUAUUACAAUUUAAAAUGGUAUAACUUUUAACAUAGCAAGUCAGUUUCUAGAAAUGUGUAUCAUUUAAUACAUGAUGAGAAAUUUUCCCCUGAUAUUAUUCUAAUUUCCUAUAUUUUCCCAAUAUUUUUGCCUUAUUCUUUUAGGUAAUUAAAAAACAUUUUAUUCUAAU
rnacentral:lncRNA from 9 species